GUUAGGAAUUUUGGGCAAUGGGCGCAAGCCUGACCCAGCAACGCCGCGUGGGUGACGAAGGCCUUCGGGUUGUAAAGCCCUUUUCUGAGGGAAGAUGAUGACGGUACCUCAGGAAGAAGCACCGGCUAACUACGUGCCAGCAGCCGCGGUAAUACGUAGGGUGCGAGCGUUGCCCGGAUUUAUUGGGCGUAAAGGGCGCGUAGGCGGUCACGCACGUCCGUUGUGAAAUCGCUCGGCUCAACUGGGCGGGGUCAGCGGAUACGGCGUGGCUGGAGCAAGCUAGGGGGCAAUGGAAUUCCCGGUGUAGUGGUGGAAUGCGUAGAUAUCGGGAGGAACACCAGUGGCGAAGGCGGUUGCCUGGAGCUUUGCUGACGCUGAUGCGCGAAAGCGUGGGGAGCGAUCCGGAUUAGAAACCCGGGUAGUCC
rnacentral:rRNA from 1 species